AAUUUCGAAGCUCAAACCCCUCUCUCUCUCUCUCUCUCUCUAUGUGGUUUUGUUUAAUCGGUGUUUCGUUUUCGAAUUUCGUAUCCGAUAACGUGGGACUCGAUACGAAAUUCGAUUCGGUAACCGAAGCUUUGUGUAGGCUGUAGAUGUUUAUGGAAGUUUGAAGGAAAGGAGAUGAGGGAACGAAGGCGACGACUCAUCUCAGUGAUUUCGGGUUCUGCUUUCCUGUGGUUGAUUUUGUUGUUUGGCUUGCUUAGAAAACUAUAUGCUAUUUCAUAAGUUGCUGCCCUAAUUGCGUUUAAGACCAACUUAGUUGAUCCCAGCAAUGUUUUUGAGAAUUGGAAUGCCACACUUGUUGAGCCCCCCUGCAGAUGGAAUCACAUUACCUGCAAUAACGAAUCAAGUGUUACUCGAGUUGAUCUUGCAAAUGCAAAUCUAACUGGUACAUUGGUUCCUCAACUUGGUCAGCUAACGAAUCUACAGUUCUUGUAAGUCAUAGUUUUAGUUCAGCUGACUCAAAUUCGGUUUUUAUUUUUUUUUAGAAAUAUUUGCAGCAAAAAUCACUAAGUAGUUUAAAAGAUUGCACUUAACUUAAGAAGAAGAUUUUUUUUUUCCAUCAAAAGUAACAUUUUUGGUAUAGUUGCUGCUACGGGGAUGCCUUAGUGUACAAGAGGUGAGGUGAUAGAGAAAGAAAGGCCUUUUCAGUCUUGUCUCCUAGGUGGUGCGUUUUACUUAAGCUUGAUGGAGAAUCGGUGGAUCAUUUGUUUAUGCAAUGUCACUUCUCUCUACAAUUAUGGUUCAAUCUAUUGAAAGAGUUUUGAUUGCAGUGGGUUGUGCCACAACAUUGUUCCC